UAAAAGACUUGACGGUACUUCACCACGACCUAGAGGAGCCUGUCUGAUAACCGACAAUCCACGAUUAACCCCACCCUUUCUCGCCCAACAGUCUAUAUACCGCCGUCGCCAGCUUACCUUGUAAAAGAAAUAAAGUGAGCCAAACAGUACUGCACUAAAACGACAGGUCGAGGUGUAACCCAUGAAAGGGGUUAAGAUGGGCUACAUUCUCCAGCCGAGAAUACGAAUAGCACUAUGAAACUAGUGCCUGAAGACGGAUUUAGCAGUAAGAUAGGAAUAAAACACCUAACUGAACACAACGCAAUGAAGUGCGUACACACCGCCCGUCAUCCCUGCCACACA
rnacentral:rRNA from 1 species